rnacentral:rRNA from 1 species
CCUACGGGUGGCAGCAGUGAGGAAUAUUGGUCAAUGGUCGGGAGACUGAACCAGCCAAGCCGCGUGAGGGAGGAAGGUACAGAGUAUCGUAAACCUCUUUUGUCAGGGAACAAAGGCGGGGACGUGUCCCCGGAUGAGUGUACCUGAAGCAAAAGCAUCGGCUAACUCCGUGCCAGCAGCCGCGGUAAUACGGAGGAUGCGAGCGUUAUCCGGAUUUAUUGGGUUUACAGGGUGCGCAGGCGGUCUGUUAAGUCAGCGUUAAAAGCCCGGGGCUCAACCCCGGCCCGCCGUUGAAACUGGUAGGCUCGAGUGGGAGAGAAGUAUGCGGAAUGCGAGGUGUAGCGGUGAAAUGCAUAGAUAUCGCGCAGAACUCCGAUUGCGAAGGCAGCAUGCCGGCUCCACACUGACGCUGAGGCACGAAAGCGUGGGUAUCGAACAGGAUUAGAUACCCGAGUAGUC